rnacentral:lncRNA from 1 species
UAAUACUCGAUAUAAGGGCAAAAAUAUCUUAAAGGGAUAUAUUUUAUAAAAGGGUUAAUGGUAGAUUUUACCCACUCUCAAAGAUAAAAACAAAAAAAUAACCCACAUAAAUUAAAACAUAUAAAUAGUACCUUUUUUUUCAAAAACUUGACAUUUGUACCCUUAAAAAAUAGAAAUUUCUAGCCAUGCCCCCUCUCCCCCCAUACAUGGUGACCCCUUCCAUAGAACUUCUUCUCUUCUCUCUCUCCACGCUUUCUCCCUCCGGCAACUGCAUCGCGUCUCCGCUGCAGCCUCCAAAUCUG